rnacentral:rRNA from 1 species
UGCCAGACUCCUACGGGAGGCAGCAGUGGGGAAUAUUGCACAAUGGGGGAAACCCUGAUGCAGCGACGCCGCGUGAGCGAUGAAGUAUUUCGGUAUGUAAAGCUCUAUCAGCAGGGAAGAAGAUGACGGUACCUGACUAAGAAGCCCCGGCUAACUACGUGCCAGCAGCCGCGGUAAUACGUAGGGGGCAAGCGUUAUCCGGAUUUACUGGGUGUAAAGGGAGCGUAGACGGCGAUGCAAGCCAGAUGUGAAAGCCCGGGGCUCAACCCCGGGACUGCAUUUGGAACUGUGUGGCUGGAGUGUCGGAGAGGCAGGCGGAAUUCCUAGUGUAGCGGUGAAAUGCGUAGAUAUUAGGAGGAACACCAGUGGCGAAGGCGGCCAACUGGGCUUUAACUGACGCUGAGGCUCGAAAGUGUGGGGAGCAAACAGGAUUAGAUACCCUCGUAAAG